UACAUUGUAACGGCCAGUCAUACAAACACUUUUGGACUGUGAUGCACAUGAGCUGUAACAGCUUUGAGAAGGGAAGUUUAUGCUUUAGCACCCCUUUUGUCACUCAGGAAGGGGCAGCAAGUGCAUAAAUAAACCUCAGCCUGCCCGGAGUUAUGGCACAACUUCAAAUAAACAUUUUUCGAGCAAGUGAAAAGAGUUUUACCCGAGGUGAAGGUGACCCACGUGACCUCAUCCUCAGGUGUCACCGAGGCCAAAUGCACCGCACGAUCGCGGCCCGCAGCAGAGAUCACAUGGAACAUUGGCGGGAACAACGAGAGUCUCAACACCUCGCUUGUUUCCCUCUACUCGAAGGGAGACGGCAUACCGACUGUGACGAGCACACUGCUCCUCUCGUCUGGGCAGCUCACCGAGCGGUUGAUCCAGUGCGUUGUACAUCACAAGGGACUGGAAAACCCACACUCUGUGUCCCUCAACACACCCGUGAGUCCCUUCACGGUCAUCAUCAGCUUGCUGUGCAGUCUGGC